rnacentral:lncRNA from 1 species
AGAAGGUUGUGAGUUACCAUAUGGGUGCUGGGAACUGAACCCUGGUCUUCUGCAUGAGCAGUGCUCUUAAGCAUUGAGCCAUCUCCUGAGCCCUUUUUCUUCUUCAAAUAUUCUGAUGGUAUAAGCAUCCAAGUGUCACCCAGAGGUCUAGUGUGUGUUCUGAGCAGAAAAGGGAUCUAGAGUGUCAACAUGAGAUGAAAAGGAUUUAUUUUUAUUUAUCUGUAUGUUUAUGUGUUUCUUUGUAUGCAUGCUACAUGUCUGCAGGUGCUGAAGUAAGAUCAGAGGAUACUGGAUCCCCUGGAGCUGGAGUUAAAAGUAGUUAUGAGGCACUUAACAUGGCUCCUGGGAACCAAACUCCUGUAUUCUGUAAGAAUAGCAAGCACUCUUGACAGCUCUAUUAACAUCUCUUCAGACCUUUUUUUUUUUUUUUUAAAGAUUUAUUUAUUCAUUUAUUUAUUUAUUUAUUUAUUUAUUUAUUUAUUUAUUACAUGUAAAGUGCACUGUAGCUGCCUUCAGACGCACCAGAAGAGGGCAUCGGAUCUCAUUACGGGUGGUUGUGAGCCACCAUGUGGUUGCUGGGAUUUGAACUUCCGACCUUCGGAAGAGCAGUCGGGUGCUCUUACCCACUGAGCCAUCUCACCAGCCCCCAGACCUAUUUUUUAAUUUAUUUAAUUUUGUGCUUGUAUGCCACAGUAUAUAUCUGGAGGUCAGAGGACAAUGUCAGGUGUCACCAGCCCUUGCCUUUCACUUUCUUUGAAGCAGGUUCUCUCUGUUGCCACUGCACUGUGUCUGACAGAUUUGCUGACUUGUGCGCUUCCGGGAUUCUCCUACGCCUGUAUCCCAUCUUACUCUGAGUGUAAGGAUUACAGAGACGCAGUACUGUGCCAGCUUUUAUAUGGUAUCUUAGUUACUUUCCUGUUGCUGUGACAAAACAUUGUGACCAAGGUAACUUAUUAAAAAAUUGUUUAAUUUGGGGCUCACACUUUUAGAAAGUUAGAAUUCAACACUAAGGAGCAUGGGGGCAGGCAGGCAUGGUGCUGGAACAGUGGCUGGGAGCUCACAUCUUAAGACACAACCAUGAGGCAAAGAGAACUAACUAGGAAUGGCUUGGGCUUUUGAAAUCCCAAAAGUUUACCCCCAGUGGCAAUAUGUCCCCACCUUCUAAUAAGUCCAGUUCUUCAAUAAAACCAUACCUCCUAAUCCUUCCCAAACAGUUGUAUCAACUAAGGACCAAGUAUUCACUACCUGAGCCUAUGGGAACACUCUCAUUCCCACCACCACACACGGGGCGGGGUCAUAGGGAGCCAGACUUAGGUUGUUAUACUUGCACAGCAAACUCUUUACCCACUCAGCCAUCGCUCCAGGUGCCAAAGAAUUUUUCCUAAGGCUAGUAUGUUUAUGGCUUUCUAUUCAGGCUACAUAUGCUGUAGUGGACAUAGGCACAUUUAGGGAGGUUGUGGCAAAGGAGAAAUGUUUAAGAAAAAGCAAAGCUUCACAUAAACGAUUUGAAACAAAGACCAUCGGUUACAGGGACAGUUCAGAGGACGGUGUGGCUUGUUGGUGACAUAGGUCUUGCUAGGUUAGGUCCUUGUGCCACUGGAUUAUUUGCACAAAUAAUGCAGUCUAGAAGUACUUUUUGCAAUAAAUCCUGUAAUAGGCAUACAUGCAGGAAAUACCCCACUGCAGACAUAGGUUCAUACAGACUCCUUCCUCAUGACCUUCACUUUGAUAGGUUUGAUAUAACAACUCUGUUUUGAUAUUUGUAACUUCCAGAAUCUAAGCUCUACUACUGAUAGGCUGUGGCACAUUGGUAGAGUUAUUUUAACCUUUCUGAUUUUUAGUUUUCUCAACUAUAAAAUGAGAUAAUGACCUAAACCAGUGGUUGGUUCAUGGGUCUAGUACAGUCCCUAGCCAAUGGUUAUUGUAAAGCACAGCAAUGAAUAUGCCUUUUGGAGAAAAGAGAUUGGAAUAUAGAGAUGGAGAUUUAGAGCUGUGCAUAGCCCAGCAGAUAGAAGGCUUUCCUGGCAUGCACAUAGCUUAGCAUUUAAUCUCCAGUACUGCAAGAGAAAAACCAAACCAAAUCCAGUAUGUGAUGACAUCUGAUAAGUUAUUACACUUUUGUGCCUCAAUAUAUAGUCUACAAGAAAAACACAAAAAAAGGUUCGAAGUUGUGGUGGUUUGAAUAUGCUUGGCCCAGGGAAUGGCACUAUUCGGAGGUAUGGCCUUGUUGGAAUAAGUGUGGCCUUGUUGGAGGAAGUGUGUCACUGUAGGAGUGGGCUUUGAGACCCUCCUCCUUGCUGCCUGGAAGACAGUAGUCUUCUCCUGUUUCUUCAGAACAAGAUGUAGAACUCUCAGCUCCUCCAGUGCCAUGUCUGCCUGGACAUUGCCAUGCUUCCUGCCGUGAUGAUAAUGAACUGAACCUCAGAACCUGUAAGCCAGCCCUUAUUAAAAUUUGUCCUUUAUGAAAGUUGCCUUGGUCAUGAUGUUUCUUUACAGCAAUGAAAACCCUAAGACAGAAUUUUUCUUCACAAGGGGGCAAAGAGUAGUUAAUGUAACUGUGUCUGCUAUCAACUUGCUCUGUGGGUCCCAAUCUCAUUUAGAAAAUAAUUUCAAGACUUAAGAAUGUAUGAAGCCUUUACCUUACCAUUAUAUAAAUGAAAAGAUGGAGAAUUUAGUGAUCUGUAGAAAUGAUCUGGGUUGGAGCUGGGCAUUGUGCUGUAUAUUCACUGUCUCGCUACCACAAGUUAAUAACUAACGUUUCAUCUUCCUUUUCCCAUAUUCUGUCCUGGGUACUUCCCACUCUUAUGCUGACUGAAACCAGUUACAGUGCCCUAUGAAUUUUCUGGUUUCAGACUGUAGCAAACAACAUGUCCAAAUGUUACAAAUACUUUAGCUGAGUAUGGUAGCACAUACCUAUAAUCUCUAUAUUCUGGAGGUAGAGGCAGCAGGAUUGAGAGUUCAAGGCCAGCCAUAGCUAUAAGUUUAUGACUUCCUCCCCACCUCCAAAAUAAAACUAAAAACAAAACAAAACC